CCAAUCGCGUAUAUUAAAGUUGUUGCAGUUAAAAAGCUCGUCGUUGAAUUUCGGGAUUGGCGCAUCGGUCGUGCCUCACGGGGUAUGAACUGGUGCAGUCAAUUUCUCACCUUCUGGAGAACCGCGAUGUCCUUAAUUGGAUGCCGCGGGGAACCAGGACCUUUACUUUGAAAAAAUUAGAGUGUUUAAAGCAGGCAUUUUUGCUUGAAUACAUUAGCAUGGAAUAAUAAAAUAGGACGGCAUGGUUCUAUUUUGUUGGUUUCUAGGACCACCGUAAUGAUUAAUAGGGAUAGUUGGGGGCAUUAGUAUUCAAUUGUCAGAGGUGAAAUUCUUGGAUUUAUUGAAGACUAACUACUGCGAAAGCAUUUGCCAAGGAUGUUUUCAUUAAUCAAGAACGAAAGUUAGGGGAUCGAAGACGAUCAGAUACCGUCGUAGUCUUAACCAUAAACUAUGCCGACUAGGAAUCAGACGAUGUUAAUUUUUUAAUGACUCGUUUGGCACCUUACG
rnacentral:rRNA from 1 species